rnacentral:lncRNA from 1 species
GGGGGAGGAGGAGGGAGCCCUGGGGGACAGACAGAAGGACCAUCGAAGGAGAAACCCUGCUGGCCUCGGGACCUGGAGGAAAGAACCAGGGCCCGUGCUCCUUGGGCCAGGAUCCGGCGAUUGGACGGAACCUCUCGGAUUCCCCAGUGCUGUGAAAUCCACUUGGGGCCAUCACACCCUUCAUUGCUGUGCUCCCUGGCAGAACUCGAAUGCAGCGUGAGCUGGGCACUUUUCCCAGGGUUUGCUCUAGGUCUGGGUCUCCCAUCAGCUCCCCCGGAGCAGAGCCUGAGGCAAGGAUUCUUGUUCGGGGGCAUCUUCCUCUCAGCACCGUGCUUUGGGAAUCGAGUGAUGGUGCUGAGUGAACCCCUGAGUGAACAUCUGUGGCUUCCUCCCACCUCGUCUCUGGAUGCACUCCUGUUCGAAUGGGUGUCUGUACAUGCUUGUCCCCUCCCCACGGUGGCGUGCUCAAUGGUGGCUCCCCACAGAUAUGUCCGUGUCCUAAUUCCCGGAGCCUUUGGGUCUCAUGUAGCCAAUGAUGUGAAAAAGUGAAGGAUGCUGAGAGGAGAUCAUCCAGGUGGGCUCUGAACAGUAUCCUGUGCAUCUUUCUAAUAAGAGGGGUUCACCGGGAUCCUGUGCAUCUUUCUAAUAAGAGGGGCUCACCGGGUGCGGGGGCUCACGCCUAUCAUCCCAGCACUUUGGGAGGCCAAGACGGGCAAAUCACGUGAGGUCUGGAGUUUGGAACUAGCCUGGGCAUCAUGGUGAAACUCCGUCUCUACUAAAACUACAAAAAUCAGCCAGGCGUGGUGGCCUGUAAUCCCAGCUACUCCGGAGGCUGAGGCCUGAGAAUCGCUUGAACCCGGGAGGUGGAGAUCACGCCAUUGCACUCCAGCCUGGGUGACAGAGUGAAACUUCACCUGAAAAAAAAAAAGAGGGUUCCACAGAGGGGACGCAAACAGGAGGGGACAGCGUGGCCAUGGAGGCAGCAGGGAGUGGCACAGCCAUCAUGACAAUAAGAAAAGACAGGACUUAAACACAUAAAUAAUUUCCACUGUUUUAAA